CCGCGUGAGUGAAGAAGGCCUUCGGGUUGUAAAGCUCUUUUGUCAGGGAAGAAACGGCUGUGGCUAAUAUCCACGGCUAAUGACGGUACCUGAAGAAUAAGCACCGGCUAACUACGUGCCAGCAGCCGCGGUAAUACGUAGGGUGCAAGCGUUAAUCGGAAUUACUGGGCGUAAAGCGUGCGCAGGCGGUUUUGUAAGUCUGACGUGAAAUCCCCGGGCUCAACCUGGGAAUUGCGUUGGAGACUGCAAGGCUAGAAUCUGGAGAGGGGGGAAAAUUCCACGUGUAGCAGUGAAUGCGUAAAGAGUGAAGGAACCCGAUGGCGAAGG
rnacentral:rRNA from 1 species